UUGUCUUUAUUUUUCAGCUCUCCUACAAGCUUGUGUGCCCUGUAACCAGUAUGUAUGGUACAAUAUUUACAGCCUGGAGGAUUCUUGAAGUAAUGACAGACUCGUCUGCUGCAACUGACUGGUUGGCUUCAGUAGAGUCAUUGCUUCCUAUUACUGCUGUGAUCCCUGCGCCUGCCUUUCUUCUGCUGGCUCACCUCCUUGUUGAAGACAAAGGACAAAAUCUUCACCAAAUACUCAAGGUCACUACAGAAUUAGCCCAAGCAGAUUCCUCCCAGGUGUGUAUAGGACAAAUUCUACGAAUAAUACAACUACUUGGAACCACACCACGACUAAGAGCUGUCACUUUGCGCUUGCUGACAUCUUUGUGGGAAAAGCAGGACCGAGUCUAUCCUGAACUGCAGCGUUUCAUGGCUGUGUCUGAUGUAUCUUCUCUUUCGGUGGGCAAGGAAGUCCAAUGGGAGAAACUGAUUGCAAAAGCAGCAUCAAUCAGAGAUAUAUGUAAGCAGAGGCCGUAUCAACAUGGUGCAGAUAUGUUGGCAGCUAUUUCUCAAGUGUUGAAUGAAUGCACC
rnacentral:sRNA from 1 species